rnacentral:lncRNA from 1 species
AUGAGGGGAAGAUGGUUACUACUUGUGAAAUGGGUGAAUAUCAGACAGCUCAUUAUAGAGACAAGAAUGCUGCAUUCCCAAAGUAGGAUGACAGAACAAGUCAUGAUCUUGUACAGAAGGAAAAUGAAAUCCCUGGUGAAGCCUACAGUGUCAUCGACUCUGAAGAAGGACUCAGAGACCCAUUGGUGUUUAAUGACCCUUAUUGGCCUGCACGAACGAAACUGACUAUUUAACUUCCAUGGAGCUGCAGAACUCAUGCUAUCUACAAGGCUAGCAGAACAAAAAACUGACCCUGCUUCAAAGAGCUUGUGGUAGAGUAAAAUAAACCGUUGAAUAUUUUCA